AAGAUGUCACCGUGUGACACCGGACGAGAGGCACCGUACCCGGCCAGCGACAAGACGGCAGCCAA
rfam:Mycobacterium bacteremicum strain DSM 45578 NODE_10_length_203576_cov_39.043, whole genome shotgun sequence.